UUGCAGCCACAUCACGUUGUAACACCGGUUCCGGUGUAAUCACCAAAGUUAAGCAACACCGAGCCCUGGCAGUACCUAGAGGGGUAACCGCUUAGGAAUACUAGGUGCUGUAA